GAUGAACGCUGGCGGCGUGCCUAAUACAUGCAAGUCGAGCGAACAGAUGAGGAGCUUGCUCCUCUGACGUUAGCGGCGGACGGGUGAGUAACGCGUGGAUCCCCUACCUAUAAGACUGGUAUAACUUCGGGAAUCCGGAGCUAAUACCGGAUAAUAUAUUGAACCGCAUGGUUCAAUAGUGAAAGACGGUUGUGCUGUCACUUAUAGAUGGAUCCGCGCCGCAUUAGAUAGUUGGUAAGGUAACGGCUUACCAAGGCAACGAUGCGUAGCCGACCUGAGAGGGUGAUCGGCCACACUGGAACUGAGACACGGUCCAGACUCCUACGGGAGGCAGCAGUAGGGAAUCUUCCGCAAUGGGCGAAAGCCUGACGGAGCAACGCCGCGUGAGUGAUGAAGGUCUUCGGAUCGUAAAACUCUGUUAUUAGGGAAGAACAAAUGUGGAAGUAACUAUGCACGGCUUGACGGUAACUAAUCAGAAAGCCACGGCUAACUACGUG
rnacentral:rRNA from 1 species